GACGAACGCUGGCGGCGUGCUUAACACAUGCAAGUCGAACGGAAAGGCCCUGCUUUUGUGGGGUGCUCGAGUGGCGAACGGGUGAGUAACACGUGAGUAACCUGCCCUUGACUUUGGGAUAACUUCAGGAAACUGGGGCUAAUACCGGAUAGGAGCUCCUGCUGCAUGGUGGGGGUUGGAAAGUUUCGGCGGUUGGGGAUGGACUCGCGGCUUAUCAGCUUGUUGGUGGGGUAGUGGCUUACCAAGGCUUUGACGGGUAGCCGGCCUGAGAGGGUGACCGGCCACAUUGGGACUGAGAUACGGACCAGACUCCUACGGGAGGCAGCAGUGGGGAAUAUUGCACAAUGGGCGGAAGCCUGAUGCAGCAACGCCGCGUGCGGGAUGACGGCCUUAGGGUUGUAAACCGCUUUCGCCUGUGACGAAGCGUGAGUGACGGUAAUGGGUAAAGAAGCACCGGCUAACUACGUG
rnacentral:rRNA from 1 species